UAAGCGGAUGUAAUACACUUUAGAGCGAUAAAAGCAACCGUUUCUGAAUUAUAUGCUUGGCAAGUUUCGUUAGGCUGGUACACGGCAUGGAUGAGCUUUUUGUCUCGAACGGCGAGCCAUUGACGAAGCGACGAGCCGCCAUUACGGACCAGCGCGGAGCAGACAGAGAGACGAGUACAAAAAGUACCGCUCAGCCAGCUGGAUAAUUUACCUUCUCAAUGAAGUGGGACUGUUCUUGUUCACAGCGUGAAGCUCGGGCAAUUGGUGUAAAGACUUUUAUUUCGGUAGGAACCUGUAAAUUUACUUAGCAGUAACGGCUAACAGCUAAAAACACGAAGAUGUCAGCAAAAAAAAAAA